UACGUAGGUCCCGAGCGUUGUCCGGAUUUAUUGGGCGUAAAGCGAACGCAGGUGGUUUAUUAAGUCUGGUGUAAAAGGCAGUGGCUCAACCAUUGUAUGCAUUGGAAACUGGUAGACUUGAGUGCAGGAGAGGAGAGUGGAAUUCCAUGUGUAGCGGUGAAAUGCGUAGAUAUAUGGAGGAACACCGGUGGCGAAAGCGGCUCUCUGGCCUGUAACUGACGCUGAGGUUCGAAAGCGUGGGUAGCAAACAGG
rnacentral:rRNA from 1 species